CUCCAGACUCCUACGGGAGGCAGCAGUGGGGAAUUUUGGACAAUGGGCGCAAGCCUGAUCCAGCUAUUCCGCGUGUGGGAUGACGGCCCUCGGGUUGUAAACCACUUUAGUAGAGAACGAAAAGGAGCUAUCGAAUAAAUAGCUCUGCUGACGGUACUCUAAGAAUAAGCACCGGCUAACUCCGUGCCAGCAGCCGCGGUAAUACGGAGGAUGCGAGCGUUAUCCGGAUUUAUUGGGUUUAAAGGGUGCGUAGGCGGAGUGUCAAGUCAGCGGUAAAAUUUCGGGGCUCAACCCCGUCGUGCCGUUGAAACUGACGCCCUUGAGUGAGUGAGAAGUAAGCGGAAUGCGUGGUGUAGCGGUGAAAUGCAUAGAUAUCACGCAGAACUCCGAUUGCGAAGGCAGCAUACCGGCGCGCAACUGACGCUCAUGCACGAAAGCGUGGGUAUCGAACAGGAUUAGAUACCCCCGUA
rnacentral:rRNA from 1 species